AGUGCACAUUGUUAGAGCUUGGAGUUGAGGCCAUUGGCUGGCCAACGAACUCACAAGUGUAGCUAGGGUGCUACAUGAUGGGCAAGUUCUUCACUAACCCCACAAGGGUCUUUGGUUCAGUGAGUGGAGUUUGAUAGCAAUCUUUGCUACAAGU